rnacentral:rRNA from 1 species
UACGUAGGGGGCAAGCGUUGUCCGGAUUUAUUGGGCGUAAAGAGCGUGUAGGCGGCCAAACAGGUCAGCUGUGAAAACUCGAGGCUCAACCUCGAGACGUCGGUUGAAACCGUUUGGCUAGAGUCCGGAAGAGGAGAGUGGAAUUCCCGGUGUAGCGGUGAAAUGCGCAGAUAUCGGGAAGAACACCCGUGGCGAAAGCGGCUCACUGGACCAUAACUGACGCUGAUGCACGAAAGCUAGGGGAGCAAACAGG